AUACAGAGGGUGCGAGCGUUAAUCGGAAUUACUGGGCGUAAAGCGCGCGUAGGUGGUUUGAUUAGUCGGAUGUGAAAGCCCCGGGCUCAACCUGGGAAUUGCAUUCGAUACUGUCAGACUAGAGUAUGGUAGAGGGAAGUGGAAUUCCAGGUGUAGCGGUGAAAUGCGUAGAUAUCUGGAGGAACAUCAGUGGCGAAGGCGACUUCCUGGACCAAUACUGACACUGAGGUGCGAAAGCGUGGGGAGCAAACAGGAUUAGAUACCCCGGUAGUCC
rnacentral:rRNA from 1 species